rnacentral:lncRNA from 1 species
UUUGCAUUGUACAUACAUACAUUCUGAUUUUUAGCAUAUGAUGCAUAACUGUAGGUGAGUCAUGCCUCGUGGUGGUAAAACUCGAAGGCUCCAAGAUAUGUUGCCCCAAUCUCACAUUGCUCCUGAUAGACCUAGAGAGUUCGAGAGGGUAGAAGAAUCAGUUCACCAACCUCCUGAACAACGGGGAUAGGAAAAUGUGAUUGGAACUGAUUCUAUGAUUGUUGAAAGAAUUGUUAUUGUUGUUGCAUCCGCUAUGCAUAAUAUUGAGAGAGAUUUCAGUAAUGAAAGGGCUACAAAAUUAGGGGCUAAAGUUUUCACUAGAACAGCCGAUCCUGCAGUUGCUCAGGCAUGGAUGACCAAGAUAGAGAGGGUAUUUGAUGUUAUGGGUUGCUCAAAUGAUGGAAAGUUGUGUCUUGCCACUUUCUUAUUAGAGAAGAGUGCGUAUGAUUGGUGGCAGUCGGUACGGAGCACAUAUCUAAACCCUUCCAUCAUCACUUGGAUAGAUUUUUGGCGUAUCUUUUACGAUGCCUAUUACCCUUGAUCCUAUAAAGAUGUAAAACAGGAGAAAGUUUUGAAACUAGUACAAGACCAUAUGAUUAUUGUAGAAUAUCAGGUGAAAUUUAUUGAACUUUCAAAAUAUACCUAAGUUUUGGUAAGCAACAAAAUGGAUAAAUGCAGUUGAUUUGAAAAUAGGUUAAGGGAAGAGAUCCGAUCAGUAGUAACAGCUGGAGGCUGGAACGAACUUGGGAAAUUGGUGGAAUCAGCUUUGAGAGUAGAAAAGAGCAUUAUAGUAGGCCAAGUGGUAGAGAACAAACAAUAUUUAGAGCAAACAGUAGUCAAACAAUGACAAGUGCUUCUAGUAAUAGACCCCCAUGAAGGACAGUAGAGGAUUUCGACCUGGUGUAUCCAGUUCAGAUCAAUUCAAAUCUCGAUUUCAAGAAAGCCAGGGUCCUAGAUUCAGUCCCAAUACUGUGCAGCAACCAUUGGCCAGUCGUACUUAUACUCGGGGUUCUUCCCAAAGAUCAUUUACUCCGAGACAGGGAGAGAGUUCUACUAGUGCCAGAUUUCCUUCUUGCAAGUAAUGUGAAAGAUCUCAUCCUGAAGAGUGCUUAAAGUUCAAGGGAGCUGGUGUUUGCUAUCACUGUGGCUAAGAAGGACAUCUGAAAAGGAACUGCCCAGUUGUAUUCCAUGAGAGUGGCAUGGCAUAGAGGAUGUUUCCUCAACAGAGUGCUAGUACUACAAGACAGAAUCAGACUCAGAGAAAUGAUUCAGCUAACAGAGAAAGUGCAAACAGUGCGGCCCAGUCUAAUAUCGCAAGCGAUAGUGGUACAAAAUCAAAAGGUCAAGCAGGACAACCGAAGGCCCAGGGCAAAGUUUUUGCUAUGACUCAACAGAUGGCAGAGGAGUUACCAGAUGUUAUCAUGGGUAUGUUG